AGAGUUUGAUCCUGGCUCAGGAUGAACGCUGGCGGCGUGCCUAAUACAUGCAAGUCGAGCGAACGGACGAGAAGCUUGCUUCUCUGAUGUUAGCGGCGGACGGGUGAGUAACACGUGGAUAACCUACCUAUAAGACUGGGAUAACUUCGGGAAACCGGAGCUAAUACCGGAUAAUAUUUUGAACCGCAUGGUUCAAAAGUAAAAGACGGUCUUGCUGUCACUUAUAGAUGGAUCCGCGCUGCAUUAGCUAGUUGGUAAGGUAACGGCUUACCAAGGCAACGAUGCAUAGCCGACCUGAGAGGGUGAUCGGCCACACUGGAACUGAGACACGGUCCAGACUCCUACGGGAGGCAGCAGUAGGGAAUCUUCCGCAAUGGGCGAAAGCCUGACGGAGCAACGCCGCGUGAGUGAUGGAGGUCUUCGGAUCGUAAAACUCUGUUAUUAGGGAAGAACAUAUGUGUAAGUAACUGUGCACAUCUUGACGGUACCUAAUCAGAAAGCCACGGCUAACUACGUGCCAGCAGCCGCGGUAAUACGUAGGUGGCAAGCGUUAUCCGGAAUUAUUGGGUGUAAAGCGCGCGUAGGCGGUUUUUUAAGUCUGAUGUGAAAGCCCACGGCUCAACCGUGGAGGGUCAUUGGAAACUGGAAAACUUGAGUGCAGAAGAGGAAAGUGGAAUUCCAUGUGUAGCGGUGAAAUGCGCAGAGAUAUGGAGGAACACCAGUGGCGAAGGCGACUUUCUGGUCUGCAACUGACGCUGAUGUGCGAAAGCGUGGGGAUCAAACAGGAUUAGAUACCCUGGUAGUCCACGCCGUAAACGAUGAGUGCUAAGUGUUAGGGGGUUUCCGCCCCUUAGUGCUGCAGCUAACGCAUUAAGCACUCCGCCUGGGGAGUACGACCGCAAGGUUGAAACUCAAAGGAAUUGACGGGGACCCGCACAAGCGGUGGAGCAUGUGGUUUAAUUCGAAGCAACGCGAAGAACCUUACCAAAUCUUGACAUCCUUUGACAACUCUAGAGAUAGAGCCUUCCCCUUCGGGGGACAAAGUGACAGGUGGUGCAUGGUUGUCGUCAGCUCGUGUCGUGAGAUGUUGGGUUAAGUCCCGCAACGAGCGCAACCCUUAAGCUUAGUUGCCAUCAUUAAGUUGGGCACUCUAAGUUGACUGCCGGUGACAAACCGGAGGAAGGUGGGGAUGACGUCAAAUCAUCAUGCCCCUUAUGAUUUGGGCUACACACGUGCUACAAUGGACAAUACAAAGGGCAGCGAAACCGCGAGGUCAAGCAAAUCCCAUAAAGUUGUUCUCAGUUCGGAUUGUAGUCUGCAACUCGACUACAUGAAGCUGGAAUCGCUAGUAAUCGUAGAUCAGCAUGCUACGGUGAAUACGUUCCCGGGUCUUGUACACACCGCCCGUCACACCACGAGAGUUUGUAACACCCGAAGCCGGUGGAGUAACCUUUUAGGAGCUAGCCGUCGAAGGUGGGACAAAUGAUUGGGGUGAAGUCGUAACAAGGUAGCCGUAUCGGAAGGUGCGGCUGGAUCACCU
rnacentral:rRNA from 1 species